UCUCAUCCUGAAGCAAAGUUCUUAACCUGAAGCACUAUAUCUUGGUUCGCGGAGUCUGUAACCUGAAGCGUAUGUAACCCGAGGUACCACUGUAUUGGCUAUGCUUUCCUUUUCAUUGUCACUUGUCCACAAUCCGUGUGCUUUCCUGGAUACCACCUGUUUCAUUGAAUUACAGGUGCGUCACUUUAGAAUUACUUCUGAAAGAGCAAAAAAGAAUCAGAGUGUUGAACUUCUACGUUUAAGUUUACACUAAGGACAUAGGAAUAAGGAAGCAGUUCAGUCAAUACUGGAAAUAUAGAAUUGUACUAUUUGGCUAUGGAAAACCUGGCAACCUAAGAUUGCACCUAUUAUUUUUCUAUUAUUCCCAAUAUCACAUCACCCAGAUUCCUCCCCUCCCCCAGCAAGGGAGAGAUAAGCAAUUUGAACCCUGGGGAUCCAAAGGUUUAUGCACAUUACGAGAUUUCUAUACCAACAAUCAACCUGUAUCUAUUAACCGUGUACCAUAUUUUUCCGUAUAUAACACGCCCCCAUGGAUAAGACGCCCUCUAUUUUUGGGGAUUCAAACUUAAGAAAAUGGAGGGAAAUUGCCCAGAGCUGUUGAGCUUUUUUCCACUUACAGUCUCUGGGGAGCAGAAACAAACAAGCCCACAUCACCAAUAUGCGCUGACAAUGUAUAAGAUCUGCCCCCCCCCCCCAUUUUGAAAAUUACUUUUCUGGCACAAAAACCUUGUCUAAUACACAGAAAAGUAUGGUAAAUUUAACUUUGUCAAAUCUUAAUACUAACUGGAUUUAUUUUAAUCAAAUGAAGCUCUGAGACCCUUAACACAAUUUGAAACGUUCUAGAAGCACAAUGAGUAGGGAAAGGGAGGAAUAGUUUCUAAAACAGACUCUGUGUUGCUUAAUGUAACUUACAGAUCUAUGGAACCUCUUAAAAACAUGGUAACUGGAUACUAGCACACAAAUUCUUCCCAAGGAUUGGAAUAAAAUUUGGGGAUCGUGACCCUUAAAAUCUCUUUUGGAACGGACUUCCGGAACUGAUACUGCUUGACUUCCAAGGUACGACUGUAUAGUCUUCAUGGGAAAACCGCAUGUUAAACCUUCUGCAAUAUACCUUUCGCCAUUUUUCCUUUCUGUGUCAAUUAAACCCUUUAUACUUAACACUGUUGAUCUCCAUGACCCAUCUGCCGCUGAGGGGAGACAAGGCCCACAGCAAAUACUACAGUACUG